CCAUAUGAACUCAUCAAAAUAGCUAAGCUGUACAGCCUUCAUGCAGUUGUCUGCAACAUAUCUGGGCUGCUGGUACUGGGGAUGCAGCGCAAAAUGGAGGAAGGAGAAAAGACAGCCCCAUUUGUGUUACCAAUCAUGGAGCAACAGCAAGUUCUGCUUUUGGUUAAGCUGGAUUGACUUUGGCUUCCUCUUUGCAUCACUCAAGUGGCGAAAACCAUGAAGCUGUGCCCAGGAUGUGGGCUCAGGGGUGGAGGACUGGAAGAGACACUGCACUGUUGAGCCUCAUCCCCAGCUAUCGGAACUGCUGUGUGAUGGGUACUUUGGUUCUGAAAGCUCCACAAGGUAUCCAGGCUUCAUCUCCUCAACAUGCAGCCCUCAUCCCACAACAAACUGCAAACCUAGCACAGAAGACCAAGCGCCACCAACGCACAGUUGGCCACAGGAGCAUGGCCAGACUAUGCUAAUGUUGAUGUAGCCUGCUGGCCACACCACUACAGAGACCACGACUAGCUUGGGGAAAUCUCUCUUGUGCAAGGUGCAGCUCUAUUGCAGCCUCUGUGAACCUGGUGCAAUAAAGUGCUUAUGGAUGUGUUUGCUUGAA